AACAACGUUCUGCUCAUCAAAGCUGGCUGUGAUAGAAUUACAAUAUUUAUCUAUUACAGUCAACUGUAAUGAAAGAAUUUUGC